CAUAAUCCAGUUCUUGCCCAUGACACAGCCUUCACCUAUGCUCUGAAACUGCACCUCAGAUCUGAGAAAAAUGUGCCCGCCUGGUCCUUGACUUAGAUAUCACUAAAGAUCUGGCCAUCAGCCUCUUCCUGAUGCCAGACACAAGUCAGGUGAGUAACCUGCUUCUCCAGUUGGGCAGGACUUUGGGAUUCCCCUGGAUGAGACUCCUGGGUAGGAUAGAUCCCCUGAUAUUACUGUUGGAUCACACCGAAUGAGAUAACCAAAUUUUCCUUCUCAUGGUGCCACUUACAAAGGGCUUCUGAAUAAUUAUCUGUUUGAUCCUUACACCAACCCUAGGAGGUGAAGCUACUAAUGUUAUCCCCAAUUUAAAGAUGUGAAAACUGAGACUCACGGAAACUAGGUGACUUGUCUAGGGUCACACAGCCAGGAAACGUCAAGGACCGGCUCUUCAGGGAAGGACAUCCCCACAACCAGGACCCCUGGCAAAGAGGAAUUAAAGACCCAGUUGUGUUGUGAUGUUCAUUAUUCAGAUCUCGGAGCGCUCACGGAUCUCUUGGAUGUCCCCUGCCAGCUCAACUGAUGAGACUGCUACUUUAUGUACCACUGCUUGAAAAAGAAGGGAAUCUCCUAUUUCUCACACAGGAUAACAGUUGAGAGUCAUUGCCACAAUAAAACAGACAUGUUAGCGGUCAGGUUCAUAUAAGGACUAAGCGGCCCCAUGAAUCACAUAGGACUGGCUAAUCCUAGGACACUCCUCUCUGUGGUUUGCUAGGUAGCAGAGAGGGGAAGCUAAAUAGUAGUUUCUAAUAACAACUGGGAAGGCUUUUUCUUUUUAAAUAAAAAUGGAAUUGGCAUAAUUGGGAAUGAAGAUAAAGCUUGGAACCAAGUUAGAGAAGGCAAAGUGUACGUAGAAGAGCUGUUACAAAUAUAAAACUUGGCUGCGUUCUUUGUGAAGGCUCAAACUUGGGAAGGUUAAAUACCAUAAAUUUUUUCAUUUGUUCUGUAUUUUGAUCCUGAAAAGAAAGCUGGCUUUGCCCAUGUAUUACUUUAAAAACUUGGGGGAAAGGAGAAGAAAGGGACAAGUUUUUAAAAACUGUUUGAAAACAUUACAGCUGAAAGAAGCUACAUAGGAGCUGGGUAGAGAACCUAGUGACUAAGAGAAUGAGGAAUGCCGAGUACGCAUCCUGUGGGCGGGGCUCUACCCUUGCCGCUUUCAGGUACGGGAAUCUUGACACCAAACAUGUUCUCACAUGCAUGGUGGUGUGAAUGAUUUGAAGGAAUUUGUAGUUAGUAUAAGGAAGAACCUGGAACAUGUUUAAUGAUUUACCCCAGGAGAUCAUAAUAAACAAUGUAAAAUUUGGGAGACAUCUCUGAGUUCCCUGGCUCUUGCAGAAUUCAGCUGGGCAGUCAGAACCAGUACUGUGCCCUCGGGUAUGUCUCUGGAAGUCCCAGGAAGAUAAGAGAUAUCUAGACAUGAGACUUGGUUGAGGCAACCCUACUCACCAGCUAUGCUCCCAAUCAAAAUGCCCUCCUUCUAAUUCUAUUAGAAUUAUUCCCACACUUACUGCAUUCUCAUAUUCUCAGAAGCACGCACACACACACACACAAACAACCUUCCAUGCUUCCAAGUUUAAAUGACUCCUGUUAACUCCUAGUUGCCUUUAAGGGCUCAGCCAAAACCUCACCUUUUCAGGGGCCCCCUUGAUUCCUCAAACAUGGUCAGGGCCACCCAUGGACUCUGAUACUGCCCUAUAGACCUCUCAGUGGCACUCAUAGCACUUCCUUUGUCCCCAUCUCAGCGUGUUUUGUCUGAUCCCACAAUGCAGCGUCACUCUCAGGAUAUGACAGCAUCACUUUUGAAAAACAGGUUGUUGUUUUUUUUUUUAAAAAGGUAAGAAGACAACAAGGAGUCGGCCUCACACACUAUGGAUUAGAUUUCUUAAUCAAGUGUUCACCUUCCACCUCUCGUGGUCCUACCAUAUCACCCUUUUCUCUUGUGUUUUUCCAGAUUUAACUGCCUGAUCAAAUAGUUUUACAAGAAUAAACUCAGGAAACAGGUUGAGAAAUGAGCAGCUGAGACUGGAGUGUUCACUUUGCAAAGAACAUACUACGAAAAGAUCUGCACUCUAGGAGGUCUCAGCUGAUGAGGAAGAUGCUAGCACAGUGUCCUAUGGUCAGAAAAGAUGACCUGGCAAGAGGGGGAGUGGAGGAGAGGCAGGAAAGGGGAUCCCUUCAUGCUGAAAUCAAUGCAAUGAUGUCUGAUAUAUACAGAAAAACAGGUCUUGUAUAAAUAUGUCAUUAUAAGUGACAAGAUAAUAACAUUUUCUAGUGUAUGGAUUCUAUUUCUUUAUGUCAUUCUGGUCAACCAAAAACAAUCCUAUUUGGCAGAUUUCUGGCAUUUUGCCUCUUCCCCUAAUGACAGAUCUAAACACAUAUAUAAAAAUAGGUGGCCACAAAGAAAUAACUUCUGGCUUUAAAUGUCAUUUGGCUAGAAAUGUCUCAGGCAGCCUCUCCCAACUUUCCUGUGAUAUCUUUGAAAACAAAGAGAAAGACAAGAACUCAAAACAAGCACCAGAAACUUGACCCAAUCAAAGUCUUACCCAGAUUCUUGGAAGCAUUGUUCUUAAUUACAAGGCAAGAAACAUAGGAUUGAUACAAACCCAUCCAAAUUAUGCCUCAUGUAAUAGAAGUCAGUGGGAAGCCAGCUGCCCCUAUUUUCUUAGAGACACAGAGAUUCACGGUCUGUACCAACCAGAACACUAAGCGGGCACCCAUGUGCCAUGGAAGUCCUGCUUUUUGAGGAUGCCAGUACUACAUCUAUUUGGAGAUAGCACCUCCCAGGAAAUAACUGGCCAGGAAGUGUGUGUAUACGUGGGGGAGGGGUAGGAAGAAGGAGAACCAGCAAUUUGUACUGUAUCUUGGGAGGUGUAACUUUAACUUUACAAGCUAAACACUACAGGCAAGGGUGGAGACAGGAAGAUUCCUAAUAGCAGGACACUCUAUCAAUUGCAGUUUUGCAGGUGACUCUGUGGGUCACAAGAAUAGAGAACCAGAUGGGGAAUGUGCUACCUCAGUAGAAUGAAAAUGUUAUUUGGUGCAUGUCUGCUAGAAACUGAAAAUUGGUCUGGACUCAUGCAUGUCAACUUGUACUUCAGGUCUGAAAAGGGGAUGCAUAUGUAUAAAAUUCAACAGAAUGUACAAAUAAUUAAGAUUAAUAAGUGACCUGAGCAAGGAUGCAGAAUACAAGGUCAAUUAAUUUCUAUGUACUAGCAAUAAAUAAUUUUAAAUGAAGUAAAAAUACUAUAUACAACAUAAAAUCAUCAAAUAUUAAAGAAUAAAUACAAUAGAAUAUGUUUAAGAUCUCUACAUUGAAAACUAUAAAACACUGAAGGGAAAAUGUUUAAAAGACCAAAAUAAAUGGAGGAAUAUACCAUGUUUGUGGAUCAAAGCAUACAAUAUUGUUAAGACGUCAAUCCUCACUAAAUUCUAUUGUAAUCCCAAUCCAAAUCCCAAAUAUUCUUCUACAAUAUGGCUUUGCCACUGCCCCAUCAAUAGAAGUUUACUUUUUCUCUCUUUGAAUCUAGAUAGGCUUAUAUGCUUCAUGGCUUCCUCGGCAGGUGAUAAAUGGCAAUUCAGCUUCAACCUGGAUUACAGGAAUAGCCAUUGUUUUAGACUUCAACUGUCACGUAAGCAGUUCAGCUGAACUGAGGCACCAUGACGUGAGGAAGCCCAAAGUCAGCCUAUCUGGAGGGAUCACAUGGAGAGGUCCCAAGACUACACAAAAAGAAGAUGAUAUGAAUGCCUGGCCAGCCCCUAGCUGCUCUAGUUCCUUGCUGUUCCAGCUCCAGCCAUCAUCCAACUGCAACUGCAUGAGAGACCCCAGAAGCAUAGAGCUAAGCCCUUCCCAAAUUCCUUCCCACAGAAACCCUGAGAGAUAAUAAAUGACUGUUGUUGUUUUCAAUCACUGUUUUGAAAUUGGUUGUUAGGCAGCAAGAGAAGCCAGAACAGGGACCUUGGAAUACACAGAAUUUCUUAAUCAGGAUACAAAAAGA
rnacentral:lncRNA from 10 species